rnacentral:rRNA from 1 species
GGGGAAUUUUGGACAAUGGGCGAAAGCCUGAUCCAGCCAUGCCGCGUGAGUGAAGAAGGCCUUCGGGUUGUAAAGCUCUUUCGGCGGGGAAGAAAUGGCACUUUCUAAUACAGAGUGUUGAUGACGGUACCCGCAUAAGAAGCACCGGCUAACUACGUGCCAGCAGCCGCGGUAAUACGUAGGGUGCGAGCGUUAAUCGGAAUUACUGGGCGUAAAGCGUGCGCAGGCGGUUGUGUAAGUCAGAUGUGAAAUCCCCGGGCUCAACCUGGGAACUGCAUUUGAGACUGCACGGCUAGAGUGUGGCAGAGGGGGGUGGAAUUCCACGUGUAGCAGUGAAAUGCGUAGAGAUGUGGAGGAACACCGAUGGCGAAGGCAGCCCCCUGGGCCAAUACUGACGCUCAUGCACGAAAGCGUGGGGAGCAAAC